rnacentral:rRNA from 1 species
GACGAACGCUGGCGGCAUGCCUAACACAUGCAAGUCGAGCGAGUUGAUCCCUUCGGGGUGAAGCUAGCGGCGGACGGGUGAGUAAUACGUGGGCAACCUGCCUCAUAGAGGGGAAUAGCCUUCCGAAAGGAAGAUUAAUACCGCAUAAGAUUGUAGCUUCGCAUGAAGCAGCAAUUAAAGGAGCAAUCCGCUAUGAGAUGGGCCCGCGGCGCAUUAGCUAGUUGGUGAGGUAACGGCUCACCAAGGCGACGAUGCGUAGCCGACCUGAGAGGGUGAUCGGCCACAUUGGGACUGAGACACGGCCCAGACUCCUACGGGAGGCAGCAGUGGGGAAUAUUGCACAAUGGGGGAAACCCUGAUGCAGCAAUGCCGCGUGAGUGAUGGCGGCCUUCGGGUUGUAAAGCUCUGUCUUCGGGGACGAUAAUGACGGUACCCGAGGAGGAAGCCACGGCUAACUACGUGCCAGCAGCCGCCGUAA